rnacentral:lncRNA from 1 species
GAUUUCUCCUCGUGCAUUUGGCGGACAGAGCCUCAAGUUUGGAAAGGGCGGGCAGGCCCAUCGGUGCUGCUGUGUGGCUGAUCGGACCGGCCACUCAAUAUUGCACACCUCAUAUGGGAGGUCUCUGCAAUAUGAUACCAGCUGUUUUGUGGAGUAUUUUGCCUUGGACCUCCUGAUGGAGAACAGAGAGUGCCGUGGUGUCAUCGCACUGUGCAUACAGGACGGGUCCAUCUGUCGCAUAAGAGCAAAGAACACUGUUGUUGCCACAGGGACAUGAGGAUUCUCAACCUGAUAAAAAUGAGCUUUCCUAAUAACUCAAGACCCACCUGCCUAGGAAUAAACCAUCCCAGCUGUGAGAGACCAGACGAAACCUGAGACCAGAGACUCGUUUUCUUCUAAAAUGCUUUCUCCAAAAGAUUUUUAAACAGAAAAGGGGGGAAAUGUGAAAGGAAAAGAAAACUUGAGGCCCCCAAAAUCACUAAGCUAAAAGGAAAAGUCAAGCUGGGAAUGGCUUAGGGCAAACCUGCCUCCCAUUCUAUGCAAAGUCAUCCCUCCAUGCACUGAGAUAAAUGCUUAUCUAAUUGCCUCCUUUGGAGAGGCUCAUCAGAAACUCAAAAUAAUGCAACUAUUUGACUCUCACCUACCUGUGACCUGGAAGAUCCCUCUCUGCUUGAGUUGUCCUGCUUUUCUGGAUGGAACCAAUGUUCAUCUUACAUAUAUUGAUUGAUGUCUCAUGUCUCCCUAAAAUGUAUAAAACCAAGCUGUGCCCUGACCACCUUGGGCACAUGUCGUCAGGACCUCCUGAGGCUGUGCCACAGGCAUGCAGCCUCAACCUUGGCAAAAUAAACUUUCUAAAUUAACUGAGACCAGUCUCAGAUAUUCAGGGUUCACAGUAUCCAAAAAUCCAAUCACAUCGAAACUGCCUUUGCAAAAAUUAUCACAGUGAGAAAAAAACGGCAGUGAAAGAAAGCUGAUCUAGCCAACCUCCCUCUUGCCUUUAGCUUUCAAGCUGCUUUUACUUAUUCCUGGGUUUAAGCCAAGCUACAUGUGGGAGUCAUUUAGUUUAUAGUUUAAAUUAUAAUAACCCUUCCCCCAAACUCAACCACCCUUGUAAUACUAAUGAGAGACCACCAGGCUAGGAGGAGGAGAGGAGCCUAAAUUCUGCUAAGGUGUAGACAAAAACAAUUGUGAGGUGUUAUUCCAGAAGCCACAAGAUAUGCAACUUCCUCAGUUACCCCUGCAGAUAAUAUUACUUUUGUAGAACCUAGGAUUGGCCUUCUGAGAUAUCUUCUCAGGAUUUUGCAUGUCUGAUGACCGAUGGCUCCACCAGGACCAGCCAACGGCUUUUGUGUCCCCACCCAGAAGCGACUCAGAGAAAGAGGACAGCUUCGACACCCUAUGAUUUCAUCUCUGACCCAACCAAUCAGCACUCCCCAUACCCUAGCCUGCUACCUACCAAAUUACCUUUGAAAAAUCCCUAACCUCCAAGCCUUAGAUGAGUUUGAUUUGAGUAAUAACUCUGCCUCCCACAUGGUGUGGCUGGCGUCAUGUCAAUUAACCUCUUUCUUUACUGCAAUGCCAUGGUCUCCAUAAACUGAUUUUGCAUGUGCAGUGGGCAGGAAGAACCCAUCGGGCAGCUACACAUCUUGAAAGAGAAGCUCUUCCUGUGAGGUACAUCAACUGUGGUUAAGAAUCUUACAUACUUAUCAUUUUUUGUUGUUGUGAGAACAUUUAAAAUCUACCCUUUUCUUUUCUUUUUUUUUUUUUGAGAUGGCGUCUCACUCUGUUGCCCAGGCUGGAGUGCAAUGGCAUGAUCUUGGCUCACCACAACCUGCUGGGUUCAAGUGAUUCUCUUGCCUCAGCCUCCUGAGUAGCUGGGAUUACAGGCAUGCACCACUCUUUUAGCAAUUUUAUUUAUUUAUUUAUUUUGUUAUUUUGAAAAAGUAUUUUUAACUUUUACUUUAGAUUAAUGGGGUAUAUGUGCAGGCUUGCUAUAUGGGUAUAUUGUGUGAUGCUGAGGUUUGGGGUAUGAAUGAUCCUGUCAGCCAGAUCGUGAGCAUCGUACACAAGCAAUUUUAAAAUAUACAAAUGGUGUGGUAUGGUGGUACAUGCCUGUAGUCCCAGCUACUCAAGAGGAUGGGGCCAGAGGAUCGCUUGAGCCUAGGUGUUUGACACCAGCCUAGACAACAUUGUGAGACUCUGUCUCAAAAAUAAUAAAUAACAAAACAAAAUAAAAUAUACAAUGCAUUAUUAUUUAAUGCAGUCAUUAUUCU